CUCAUACUGCCAUUCCUUUGCACUUCAUUAAGCUGUCCUUCCCACCGCUCCUUCAGUUCAAAACCACUGCAGUAUGAGCUAUAAAUUGCUGCUACUGGUYCCAUAAUUCCCAUCUUGGGAAUAUCCUCCUGAUUCCCAUCUUUUAUCCUGGACGCUCAGACAUGAGUCAACCUGGGCAUGGCAGGAAGAUCAGGGAGGGUAAUAAGAUUAGAAGGAGCAUGAACUUUGGGAAUGACAAGCUGGACGAGACCCAUGUGGGGCAUCCGGUUAUGGGGCAGGAUAUAGCCCAGAGAUCAAGUACCAUGGCUGGGUAUCAAAGUGGGAGGAGGUGAGAAAGUGGGCAUGUGCAUGGGAACACAUUUAUUGCCUCUUCAGGGCUGCCUUACAUUCAAAAUUCAUGGUACAACCUCUCUUCCAGCAGUGUUUCCAAGACUGCAAAGAUGACCCUGGCAAAUGGCAUGCGGAGAACUUCUCGCAUCCCUUUCACCAGUCUGUCUGGGGUGAGCUUCUUCUCUGAUCUCCCUGCUGCUCUCAUCCCUCCUGUUUGCUUUUCUCRUGUUGUAAAGCCAGCCCAGGAUUGUGCUCCAGGAUUUUCUCCGAAAUGAAAUUUCCUGCAGUGGUUAAAAAAAGAGAAAAUGUGGCUUGUGCUGCAAGCCAGAAAUGUCCAGGCUCUAAGGAGCUACCCCAAGUGCUCAUCGUCUCGGGGAGCAUGUAGUUAUCUAUGCAGGCGCUCAGCAGCAGGCGCAGAAUUUCCUUUUGCUUCUGUUCCUGUCUGUUGCCUUUCUGCRGCUCCAGCAGGAGAAACAAGCUGCGAAUGAUUACACCACGCACUUGCAAACACCAAGGAAUGGCAYGGAUAUGAGAAGCGAAAAAACAUGCUCAUUUUGUGUUUUUCUAAAUGCCUGCCAGAGAUGCAUCUGCUCUUCUGACAAUGAAGCGUAAGACUAGAUAUCUGGCUAUUAGAGGAGAUGAGAAGAAUUUGAAUGUUUUUUGUCACAUGCAGAGAGACGGAGUGGGUAUCUGCCCUAACAGCCUUUCUGAUUGUAAAACUGAUGCUCACGUGCAUUGACUGCUAUGUAAAAGAUACUAAUGUAUAGAAUUAUUUUUUUUUUUAGAGAA
rnacentral:lncRNA from 1 species